CUUGGAGUAGCUCAGCGGUAGAGCAGCCGGCUCUUUCCCGGCAGGGCGCGGGUUCGAAUCCUGCCUCCAAGC
rnacentral:tRNA from 1 species